AUACGUAGGGUGCGAGCGUUAAUCGGAAUUACUGGGCGUAAAGCGUGCGCAGGCGGAUUAUUAAGCAAGACGUGAAAGCCCCGGGCUUAACCUGGGAAUGGCGCUUUGAACUGGUAGUCUAGAGUGCGUCAGAGGGGGGUGGAAUUCCACGUGUAGCAGUGAAAUGCGUAGAGAUGUGGAGGAACACCGAUGGCGAAGGCAGCCCCCUGGGAUGACACUGACGCUCAUGUACGAAAGCGUGGGUAGC
rnacentral:rRNA from 1 species